rnacentral:lncRNA from 1 species
CCAGAGCUCCCAGUAUGCCCAGUUCCCUCUCCCAGUACACCCCAGUACACCCACUGCCUCCCAGUCUCUCUGCCCAGUCCCCCCAGUCUGCUCCAGUUCGCACCCAGUGCUCCCCAGUAUACCCAGUGCCUCCCAGUAUGCCCCAUUUCCUCACUCCAGUGCCUCCCAGUGUGCCUGGUCCUGCUCCCAGUGCCUCCCAGUGCCUCCCAGUAUGUUCUGCUGCUCCCCAGGUGCCCCAGUUCCUUGUCCCAGUGCUCCCAGUAUGGCCCAGUUCGCCCCAGUGGGUGCGAUGUGCGCUGAUUUUUCUGCGCCCAGUACAACCCAGUACAUCCCAGUCACUACCCAGUCGGUCCCAGCGCCCUCCCAGUCUGUCCCAGUAUCUCCCAGUAUCCUCCCAGUCCUCCCAGUUCCCCAGUCCUCCAGAGGCCCCUGUGGAGGCCGGAAGUGCCGCUCUGGCCGAACUCGUCUCUCCCCACGGAAAGGAAGUGACGUAG